rnacentral:piRNA from 1 species
AUCGACCUGGUCAUGGGGCAGCUGGCAC